rnacentral:rRNA from 1 species
AGUGAACGCUGGCGGUAGGCCUAACACAUGCAAGUCGAACGGCAGCACAGUAAGAGCUUGCUCUUACGGGUGGCGAGUGUCGGACGGGUGAGGAAUACAUCGGAAUCUACUUUUUCUUGGGGGAUUACGUAGGGAAACUUACGCUAAUACCGCAUACGACCUACGGGUUAAAGCAGGUGAUCUUCGGACCUUGCGCGAUUGAAUGAGCCGAUGUCGGAUUAGCUAGUUGGCGGGGUAAAGGCCCACCAAGGCGACGAUCCGUAGCUGGUCUGAGAGGAUGAUCAGCCACACUGGAACUGAGACACGGUCCAGACUCCUACGGGAGGCAGCAGUGGGGAAUAUUGGACAAUGGGCGAAAGCCUGAUCCAGCCAUACCGCGUGGGUGAAGAAGGCCUUCGGGUUGUAAAGCCCUUUUGUUGGGAAAGAAAAGCAGCAGGUUAAUACCCCGCUGUUCUGACGGUACCCAAAGAAUAAGCACCGGCUAACUUCGUG